CAAUAGCGUAUAUUAAAGCUGUUGCGGUUAAAAAGCUCGUAGUUGGAUUUCUGUCAAGGACAACUGGUCCGCCCCUCGGGUGAGCACAUAGUUUGGUCUUGGCAUCUUGUUGGAAACUGUUGCUGCACUUGGUUGUGUGGCGCAGUGUCCAGCACUCUCACUUUGAGGAAAUUGGAGUGUUUCAAGCAGGCACAUGCCUUUGGACACAGUAGCAUGGAAUAAUUAGAUUGGGCUUUUGCUCCAACUUGUCGGUUUCUGGAGCUGAGGUGAGAAUUAAUGGGGAUUGUUGGGGGCAUCCGAAUUUAGCCGUCAGAGGUGAAAUUCUUGGAUCUGCUAAAGACGGACAACUGCGAAAGCGUUUGCCCAGGAUGUUUUCAUUGA
rnacentral:rRNA from 1 species